AUCUUGACAGCCUCAUUUCAUCUUCGUCUAAUCCAGAAGUGCAGCAACAAUCAUUAUAUUCAGUGGGGCUCACACAAUUUCUUCUUGAUAUUAUGGAUGAAUAUGAGGAAAAGCAGGGAAGGAUGUGUGGAAUUGGCCCUAUUGCUUUUAUAGCUACUGCUCAAUCAUUGACUAAUGUACCACAGACAUUGAGCUCUUCUGGAAGAUUCGACUGUCAUGUUAAGUUGCCAGCACCUGCUGCUGCAGAACGUGCAGCAUUGUUGAAGCAUGAAUUCCAGAAGCGCCACUUGGAAUGUCAUGAUGAUGUCAUUUCAGACAUAGCAUCCAAGUGUGAUGGAUAUGAUGCAUAUGAUAUAGAAAUACUUGUUGAUAGGUCUGUACAUACUGCUGUGGGUCGCUUCCUGUCCAGUGAUUUGGGUUCUAAGGAGCAAGUCAAGCCCACUUUAGUUAGGGAUGAUUUCUUGCAUGCCAUGCAUGAAUUCCUUCCAGUUGCCAUGCGUGACCUUACUAAGCCUCCUU
rnacentral:lncRNA from 1 species